rnacentral:rRNA from 1 species
UACAGAGGCCCCGAGCGUUAGGCGGAAUCACUGGGCUUAAAGCGUGUGUAGGUGGAUGCCUAAGUACCUUGUGAAAUCCCACGGCUUAGCCGUGGAAUUGCUGGGUAUACUGGGUGUCUUGAGCCACUCAGGGGCUACCGGAACAAAUGGUGGAGCGGUGAAAUGCGUAGAUAUCAUUUGGAACGCCAAUGGUGAAAACAGGUAGCUGGGGGUGUGCUGACACUGAGACACGAAAGCCAGGGGAGCAAACGGG